UACGGAGGGUGCAAGCGUUAUCCGGAUUCACUGGGUUUAAAGGGCGCGUAGGCGGCCACCGCAAGUCACUUGUGAAAUCUCCGGGCUUAACCCGGAAAGGUCAACUGAUACUGCGGGGCUAGAGUGCAGAAGGGGCAACUGGAAUUCUCGGUGUAGCGGUGAAAUGCGUAGAUAUCGAGAGGAACACCUGCGGCGAAGGCGGGUUGCUGGGCUGACACUGACGCUGAGGCGCGAAAGCCAGGGGAGCGAACGGG
rnacentral:rRNA from 1 species